rnacentral:rRNA from 15 species
UCCAGCUCCAAUAGCGUAUAUUAACAUUGUUGUCGUUAAAAAGCUCGUAGUCGAACUUCGGGUCCUGUAGGCCGGUCCGCCUUCUUGGUGUGUACUUGCUCUAUGGGACCUUACCUCCUGGUGAACGGCGAUGUCCUUUACUGGGUGUCGUCGCAAACCAGGACGUUUACUUUGAAAAAAUUAGAGUGCUCAAAGCAGGCAUUAUCGCCUGA